UACGGAGGGUGCAAGCGUUAUCCGGAUUCACUGGGUUUAAAGGGUGCGUAGGUGGGCAGGUAAGUCAGUGGUGAAAUCUCUGGGCUUAACCCAGAAAGGUCAACUGAUACUGUGCGACUAGAGUGCAGAAGGGGCAACUGGAAUUCUCGGUGUAGCGGUGAAAUGCGUAGAUAUCGAGAGGAACACCUGCGGCGAAGGCGGGUUGCUGGGCUGACACUGACGCUGAGGCGCGAAAGCCAGGGGAGCGAACGGG
rnacentral:rRNA from 1 species